rnacentral:lncRNA from 1 species
AUAAGAGCAUUAAAUAUGAUAUUCCUAUGUUUGGUAGAAGGGAACAAAAAUAAUAUACCCAGGAAUAAAUGAUUCCCAGGAAUCUUAUUUACCCGUUGACUCUCUAUUUUUAUUCCCGGGGGUGGGGGGCUGGAAUCUUCAAUUCCUGGGAAUGAAAUCUCCACAUUCAUGGCGAAAACCCACCCAUACCCCUAUUUUACCCGCGCUUCUUCCCUCCUAAUUUUUCCCACGCGUUUUCUAAAUUAAUAGAAACCCACAUAUAUAUAAACCCCUCUUUGCUCUCUCUUUUCACUCAUCUGGAUCCAGAUCCAUC